rnacentral:tRNA from 1 species
AAAUUAUAUAGUUUAAAAAAAACCCUACAUUUUCACUGUAGAAAUAAAAUUUUAAUUUUUAUAGUUA